rnacentral:rRNA from 1 species
GAUGAACGCUGGCGGCGUGCCUAAUACAUGCAAGUCGAGCGAACGGACGAGAAGCUUGCUUCUCUGAUGUUAGCGGCGGACGGGUGAGUAACACGUGGCUAACCUACCUAUAAGACUGGGAUAACUUCGGGAAACCGGAGCUAAUACCGGAUGAUAUUUUGAACCGCAUGGUUCAAAAGUGAAAGACGGUCUUGCUGUCACUUAUAGAUGGAUCCGCGCUGCAUUAGCUAGUUGGUAAGGUAACGGCUUACCAAGGCAACGAUGCAUAGCCGACCUGAGAGGGUGAUCGGCCACACUGGAACUGAGACACGGUCCAGACUCCUACGGGAGGCAGCAGUAGGGAAUCUUCCGCAAUGGGCGAAAGCCUGACGGAGCAACGCCGCGUGAGUGAUGAAGGUCUUCGGAUCGUAAAACUCUGUUAUUAGGGAAGAACAUAUGUGUAAGUAACUGUGCACAUCUUGACGGUACCUAAUCAGAAGGCCACGGCUGACUACGUG